AUGUUACUCCCUCCAAUCCAUAUCGCUUGUCUUAGAUUUGUCUAGAUAUAGAUACAGAUGUAUCUAGACAAAUCUAAGACAAGCGAUAUGGAUCGGAGGGAGUAUUAA
rfam:Triticum urartu cultivar G1812 contig375241, whole genome shotgun sequence.